AUCGCAUUUACCCGCUUACUCAGACGGCCGUUGCGGUCGCCGGUUCAAACCAGCGCGGGUGGGAAAUUCGGUGGUUCUCUCCGUCCACGGAGGCAGGUUUCUGCCUUCGCACAAAAUGCUCCUGAGAGCGUCCUGGCGCGAAAGCGCCGGGCAGGGCCAUCAGAAAUCAGUCGAGUUUACUUGGCAUGGGAGGCUCUGCGGACGGUUGGUCAUGUGUAUGAACAUGGCUAUUGAGUGCAAUAUGCGAACCUUGAAAAAGGCACCCGAUACCGAUCAUCGUGGU
rnacentral:RNase_P_RNA from 2 species